rnacentral:rRNA from 1 species
GGUGAACGCUGGCGGCGUGCUUAACACAUGCAAGUCGAACGAAGCACUUUAUUUGAUUUCCUUCGGGACUGAUUAUUUUGUGACUGAGUGGCGGACGGGUGAGUAACGCGUGGGUAACCUGCCUUGUACAGGGGGAUAACAGUUGGAAACGGCUGCUAAUACCGCAUAAGCGCACAGCAUCGCAUGAUGCAGUGUGAAAAACUCCGGUGGUAUAAGAUGGACCCGCGUUGGAUUAGCUAGUUGGUGAGGUAACGGCCCACCAAGGCGACGAUCCAUAGCCGACCUGAGAGUGUGACCGGCCACAUUGGGACUGAGACACGGCCCAAACUCCUACGGGAGGCAGCAGUGGGGAAUAUUGCACAAUGGGCGAAAGCCUGAUGCAGCGACGCCGCGUGAGCGAAGAAGUAUUUCGGUAUGUAAAGCUCUAUCAGCAGGGAAGAUAAUGACGGUACCUGACUAAGAAGCACCGGCUAAAUACGUG